GACAGAGGUGCCAAGCGUUAGGCGGAAUCACUGGGCUUAAAGCGUGUGUAGGCGGAUCGUUAAGUACCUUGUGAAAUCCCACGGCUCAACCGUGGAACUGCUGGGUAUACUGGCGAUCUUGAGCCACCUAGGGGCGAGCGGAACAAACGGUGGAGCGGUGAAAUGCGUAGAUAUCAGGAGGAACACCGGUGGCGAAGGCGGCCUGCUGGGCAGUAGCUGACGCUGAAGCGCGACAGCGUGGGGAGCAAACAGG
rnacentral:rRNA from 1 species